rnacentral:lncRNA from 1 species
GACUUUUAAAAGUUGAUUUGAAGUGAAUUUGAAGUUUGACCUUUCUUUAAUAUUUUAAUUCAAGUUUAUUUUCAAAUAUUAAAAAUGCCAAAAAUAUUUUGUUUAUUUCUUGACUUCCAACCUUCAUCUCACUUUUUUUUUAUGGUUUGACCUUGAUCUCCCCUAUCUUUGGUCAACAUUUGUGGAUUGGUACAUUCCAUUUCACUUAAUGCACUUUAUU